rnacentral:rRNA from 1 species
UCAGCAGCCGCGGUAAUACGUAGGGUGCGAGCGUUAUCCGGAUUUAUUGGGCGUAAAGAGCUCGUAGGUGGUUUGAAAAGUCUGAUAUGAAAUAUCCCGGCUCAACCGGGAGAACGUAUCGGAAACUUUCUGACUAGAGGUAUGCAGGGGCAGAUGGAACACAAGGUGUAGCAGUGAAAUGCGUAGAUAUCUUGUGGAACGCCAAUGGUGAAGACAGUCUGCUGGGCAUUACCUGACACUGAGGAGCGAAAGCGUGGGGAGCGAACGGGAUUAGAUACCCCGGUAGUCCACGCCGUAAACGAUGCACACUGGGAAUCUGAGGAAUCGACCCCUUAGGUUUCGAAGCUAACGCGUUAAGUGUGCCGCCUGGGUAGUACGGCCGCAAGGCUAAAACUCAAAGGAAUUGACGGGGGCCCGCACA